rnacentral:rRNA from 1 species
UACAGAGGGGGCAAGCGUUAUUCGGAAUUAUUGGGCGUAAAGGGCGCGUAGGCGGCUUGGCAAGUGGAUGGUGAAAUCCCUCGGCUUAACCGGGGAACUGCGUCUGAUACUGGAUGGCUUGAGAUUGGGAGAGGGAUGCGGAAUUCCAGGUGUAGCGGUGAAAUGCGUAGAUAUCUGGAGGAACACCGGUGGCGAAGGCGGCAUCCUGGACCAACACUGACGCUGAGGAGCGAAAGCCAGGGGAGCAAACGGG